ACCUUGUCAGCAAAUUGCUGUUGCCUCUCUCAGUUACCAAAAAUAACCCGUAACAAACACCAGGCUUGGGUGUAAGUUCUUUCCUAAGGGAACAACUCAGCAGAGCUGUUUAUAACUAGAGAGGAGGAAACAAUAAUCUGCAAGAUGUCGCCAGCAGCAGAAUGAGAACGGUUAUUAGUUAAUAGCCAUCAGAGACAGACCAAGUGGAACACAGUCCUCGGAAAAACGCCACUCUGUAGCAUUAGUAAUUAAAACCUCACGAGGUUUGUAUUUCCUGAAGGAGGCCGUCAGUGUCAAUGCUGUACUAACGACGGUACUGUACGUUAAGUUUCGGUACUGCCCCCACUUUCUUCUCCUUGACGUUGUAUUACUAAAAGCUGCAGCUACUCUCUACAGUUUUCUCAUUGGUUACUAAUGUCUGGAACAGCAGCUAGAUUAUGCAGUAAGCUCUUGGUAUGUAUUAGCUAUUAUAUAAUAAUUUAUUUGAAUAGAGUAGAACUAAAAUUUGAAAUGAGUUAAAACCAAAGAGUUAAAAGAUUUAUGGUAGUAAAUAUUCAUACUGUUUUGUUGAUUUGGACAGUUGUCUUGAACAGCUUUGAAAGGGAACAUAUGACAGGUUUCGUUUAUAAUUUUAAUUGAUGCUGAACUCCACUAACAUGAUAUGUGCAGCUGGUGUUACAUUAUAACUGAGUUUUUUAAUUACCCAGUGAAGAAAUUCAAGAUGUCAUGCUCUUGUUUUUCUCCAGAGUGAAGCACAAAGUCUGAAAAACUGUUGUUGACGACUUCUCAGUCCUUUAUGUGGAGCUGGGGGCAGGAAGAAUUGCUUCUGGAAGCUGAUGGAGUUGGACAUGUGGCUUUCUAGAAUCUGGAUGUGAUGGUGCAGGAAAAACUCCUGCCCAUUGAGAGGGCUCCGUAAGUGCUUCCCAAAAGAGAAUGAGAAGGAAAAGGAGAUCUCCGCAGGAACUGCCUCCUUGGAUCCAGGGCAAAAAUGAACCUCCUAUUGGAGAGAAGUGCCCAGCUUGUCAAGAACUUGAAUCAGUGCAACCAGCGUUUGUGAAAGCAGCAUUUCCCAUUUCACACAAAGUCAGCUUCUGGCCAACUGGACAAAUCUGAACAAAUAUGAAACCCACUAAAAGGCCAGUGACAGGUGCACACACUACUGACUCUGGCUAGAGGCUGUGGCAGGAAUUGGACUCAUGUCAUCCAGCGACAGUUCCACCAGCAUCUCUUGUGGCUUCCCAAGGACCAGCCUGAAGCAAACUCCUCAGUGGUGUGAAGACUUUCCAUGUCACUGGAAACCCACCACAGAGUUCUACCAAGUAACCAUGCCUCCACCAGUCCACAACAAACUUUUAAGGCCUCUCCAGUUAUGCCUGCAACCAUCCCACAUUAGCAACCUAAGUAGGCCACCAGUAGAGCUGGUCAAGAGAAAGGAUAGGUUCAAUUAAUUAUUUUUUAAUUAAAAAAAAUAGAGACAGGGUCUUGUUAUGUUGCCCAGGCUGGUCUUGUACUCCUGAGCUCAAAUUAUCUUCCCACCUCAGUCUCCCAAAGUGCUGAGAUUACAGGUGUGAGCCACCGUACUCAGCCAGAUAGAUUCAAUUUUUAAAACUUUAUUGCCAUUACUGUUCAGUAACCCCUUGAUAUGGUUGAAUAUUUGUCCCCUCCAAAACUUAUGCUGACAUCUAAUCCCCAAUGUGACACUAUUGAGAGAUGGGGCUUUUAAGAUGUGAUUAGGUCAUGAGGGCUCCACCUUCUGAAUGGAUUAAUCCAUUCAUGGAUUAAUGAGUUCAUGGGUUAAUAGAUUAAUUUAUCUUGGGAGUGGGAUUAGUGGUUUUAUAAGAAGAGUGAGACCUCAGCUAGCAUAUUAGCACUCAGCUCCCUUGCCAUGUGAUACCACCUUGGGACUCUGCAGAGAGUUCCACCAGCAAGUCCUGUACCAGAUGCAGCCCCUUGACCUUGAACUUUUCAGCUUCCAGAACUGUAAGAAAUAGGCCAGGCAUAGUGGUUUACACCUGUCAUCCCACCACUCUGAGAGGCCAAGGCCAGUGGAUUGCUUGAGCCCAGGAGUUUGAGGCUGCAGUGAGCUAUGAUCAUGCCAUUGCACUCCAACCGAGCCUGGGCAACAGAACAAAACUCAGUCUCAAAAAAAAAAAAAAAAAAAAAAAAAAAAAAAGCAGCAGCAGCCAGAUACAAAAGAAUACAUUCUGUAUGACUCCAUUUAUUAGAAGUUCAAAGCCAGAUGUAGUGGCUCACACCUGUAAUCCUAACACUUUGGGAGGCCGACACAGGAAGAUCACUUAAGCUCAGGAGUUUGAGACCAGCCUGGGCAACAUAGUGAGACUCCAUGUCUAUUAAAACAAAAAAGUUCAAGGAGAAUCCAAAUUAAUGGAUGUGGAUAGAAAUCAAAGUGGCGAUUCCUCUUCAGAAGUGAAGACUGACUGAUAGGAGAAAUGAGAGAACUUUCUGAGUGAUGAAGGUGUUUUAUAUCUAGAUUGGAGAGUUGGUUACACAAGUGUAUAUAUUUGUCAAAAGUCAUCAAAUUGCACACAUAUUAUUUCACAGUAUGUAUGUUUUACCUUAAAUAAAAAUGUUUUGGCCAGGCACAGUGGCUUACACCUAUAACCCCAGCACUUUGGGAGGCCACAGCAGGAGGAUCUCUUGAACACAGGAGUUUGAGACCAGCCUGGGCAAUAUAGUGAGCCCUCAUCUCUACUAAUAAAAUAAAAUAAAAUAUAACAUAAAAUAGCCACGCGUGGUGAUGCAGGCCUGUGGUCCCAGCUACUCAGGAGGUUGGGGUAUGAGGACCGUUUCAGCCUGGGAGGUCAAGGCUGCAGUGAACUGUGAUGAUGCUACUGCAUUCCAGUCUGAGUGACACAGUGAGACCCUGUCUCCAGAAAUAAAACAAGACACAACAAAAAAAGUGUUGUAUACUUUUUUUUUUUUUAAUU